rnacentral:lncRNA from 1 species
CUGAAGUUGCAGCUCAUGUUGCAAUGACAUUAGUUCCUUCCUACAAAAUUGAACUGUGGUGGUAAUAUUGCCAAAGGUAUUUGUAUUCCACUCCUUUAGUGCUGCUUUACAGGCUUUGAGCUUUUGACAUAAGAUGUAAGGGGGGGAUCCAUGCACAUUAACAUUCCAAGCAGAUCUAAUAACAUCAAGAAAUUGAGGAUGAGUACUCCACAUGUUAAAGAAUCUAAACGGUUUCUUGCCUCUUGGUGUCGCUUUGUCUGCGUGUAUAUACAUUAAAG